AGUAUAGUAUAAUGGUUAGGAAGCUGGUCUUGUGACUCAGAGGUUGUUGGUUCAAUUCCUACCUACAUUA